AAAGGACUUGUUGAAAAGAUUCAACCUUGAGCAUCUUAAACCUUGUACAACACCUAUGACAGUAAGCAAGUAUAUUUCUAAAAAUGAAGGUGAAAAGAUGGCUGAUUCUUCCUUGUAUAGAAGUACAGUUGGAGGACUACAGUAUCUGGCACAUACAAGGCCUGAUAUAUCCUUUGCAGUGAACAAAUUAAGUCAGUUUCUACAAAUUCCUUCAGAUGUACAUUGGAAAGUAGUGAAAAGAGUUUUCAGAUAUCUAAAAGGGACAAUUGAUCAUGGCUUAUGGAUUCAAAGAAAUGACAGAAUAAGCAUCACUGGUUUUAUUGAUGCAGAUUGGGCUUCAUGCCCUGAUGACAGGAGGUCAACAACCGGGUAUUGUGUGUAUUUGGGAGACCCUUUAGUUGCCUGUUCUUCAAAGAAACAGCAGGUUGUAGCGAGAUCAAGCACAGAAUCAGAAUACAGGGCUUUAGCUCAAACUGCUGUAGAGAUAACCUGGAUUGAAUCAUUGCUUAAGGAAAUCAAUUUGCAUCCUGUUUCACCUCCUACAUUGUGGUGUGAUAAUCUCAGUGCUAGUGCCUUGGCUUCUAAUCCAGUCUAUCAUGUACGAACUAAACACAUUGAGUUGGAUAUACAUUUUGUUAGAGGCAAAGUUCUUGAAGGGAAGCUAAAUAUACAAUAUAUUCCAUCAUCAGACCAAAUUGCAGAUUUGCUAACUAAGCCCCUUGCUCAAACCACAUUUUUAUUUCUCAAAGACAAGCUUGGAGUAAAAGAAUAAACUCCAGCUUGAGGGAGGAUGUUGAAAUAUAUUUGCACUUGACAGACCAUCAGCUGCUAACGUGCACCCUUGGGGCCACCAAUGAGUUGUUAUAACUGUUUUGAUUCUUAUGGUUACAUCACGUGGUUAAAAUUUGUUUUGCUUAUUUACUACUCCAAGAACUUGUAUAUAUA
rnacentral:lncRNA from 1 species